AACAUGCUCUUCUUGUUUGCAUUUGGGAGAGAGAAGCAGCAGCAACCCUAAGAGGUUAUUUUGUGUAUGGCUGCUACAGGCUGAACAGGGUCACCUUUUUGUUUAUCUGGCUUGAGAAUGAAGACUUGAGAAAAACACCCUAAAUGCAGCUCCUAGCCCUCAGGGUAGAAUUAGUGGACAAAGUGGAUACCUUUUAAUCCUGGGCUUCACAGCAAUGCAUAGCCUAAUCCUAUAAUCCUUGUUCUUGGAUUUCUUAAAAUUGCUAUCAUCAUCUGCCCCAUAUGAACCCUAAGCUUUGGACCCACUUUUAAGUAAUUAAUUAAACAGAUGAUGUCAUCAAGCAGCAUCCACCCGAGGAACUUCUGAAACCAUUGUAGGGGGAAGGUGAUUGAUCUUGAUUCACCGCUUGAGCCAGAAAGACCUAUAAAAGGAGCAACAAGUGAAGAUUAUUCUCCUUGAGAAGCCUUGAGAAGAUGAUAAACCAGAAGGACAAACAGGAAUAGAUAAAUCCCACGAGUAAGGAGAAUGUUCUCAAAAGUAUACCACCCUUGUGUCUGUGUACACGUGUGCACGCACACAGAACUGUGAACAUAAGCAAAGAAGGAAGAAGUCAAAUAAAUGAACAAUUCAUUUCUCUCCUUUUCAGUGCGCAGUCUGCUGCACCACACCCACAAAGAAGGAAUAAGCUCUUUACAUCAGUCACUAAAAUGCAGGCAUAUACUUGGAAUUAGUGUCUCAUUGCUUUUUCUAAAAUGGCCUUUUUUCCCCAUUUCCAGAACUAUAUAUUUUUGUCAGUUUAAUAGUUGCACUUCUUAUUGAAAUACAGUCUGUCAGUGCUUUCCUUUUUUAAGUAUCAAAUCUGUUAAUAAGCUUUUUCUUUUCCAUCGGUUUUUUCCCUUUCCCUUGGGAUACAUGACAUGUGGCUUAUGCUCUGGUGAGUAACCCAAUAUUUAAAUGUUUAUUCACCAUUACGUUUUGAAAGAAAACAGCUCACCAUCUUUUUUUUAAAAUUUAGAAUAAGCACAUUUUCUGUCUGCCUGCUCUUGGCUUUCUGCUAGGCUGAUUUAAUACAUUGAUUUAUACAGUGGGAUGAGCUGGGAAACAUAUUUUAAAUCUGAAAUCUUAUAUUCUGCUGAAUGUAGCAAACAUCAUGAAAAGUGCACCAAAUGUGCGGAAUCUGUCAAUUUUCCACACCCAUGCACUGUAAAGGCUCCCGCCAGGAACUCAAAAAUGGCAGAAUGCAGAUAAGAGUAUUUUUGGAAGUUAUCUUUCUGUGUACAGCAUGGUAAUUAAUGUGACAUUCCACUAUAGUAAUUGCACAGAGUACAUUACAUGCAUGGCUUUAUUUUAGAUGAUAUUGUAAAGCACACUUGACCACGUUCAUUACUAUUUUGUGCUCUCUGGAAGUGCAUUUAUUACAAUACUCACAGGCUAUUUCUGUACUCUGAGAUAUGAUUACUGUAGUUGGGGCAUGCUGAGCAUCCAAAGGUAAUCCUAAUAUUCUGUUGAUGUCUCCCUUUACCCCAAUAAUAACCUGCUACGUUCAGCCCACUGUUAAAUUUUAAAGUUACCUUUAAUUAACAUGUUAUCAAAACCAUAAUAGGGAUCAUAUUCUUCAAUGUAGUUCAGGGCCAGUAUAUUACAUAUCUUAGAUUCCCACUUGGUACUGAUCAUAACUAGAAUCUUGUUUCAUUGCCAGCCACUUGUCAGUUAUGGGAAUUUACCUUUUCUUUGAUUUCUCAUUGGUUUCCAGUCCAAUUUUCAGAUAUAUAGUACUUGUACUUUGAAGGGAAAAGGGUGAUAAAGGACUGAUAUUAUGAGAACAUCCAGCACUUUCACUGAAUACUUAAGAAGUGUAAUGUCUUUUAAGGUUUUUCUUUACUAUUUGGAGCAUUUUCUGCUCUCUGUUGGACUGAGAUAACUCUAUUAAAAGACAGUGGAAUUA